rnacentral:rRNA from 1 species
UGGGGAAUCUUAGACAAUGGGGGAAACCCUGAUCUAGCCAUGCCGCGUGAGUGACGAAGGCCCUAGGGUCGUAAAGCUCUUUCGCCAGGGAAGAUAAUGACGGUACCUGGUAAAGAAACCCCGGCUAACUCCGUGCCAGCAGCCGCGGUAAUACGGAGGGGGUUAGCGUUGUUCGGAAUUACUGGGCGUAAAGCGCACGUAGGCGGACCAGUCAGUCAGAGGUGAAAUCCCGGGGCUCAACCUCGGAACUGCCUUUGAUACUGCUGGUCUUGAGUUCGAGAGAGGUGAGUGGAAUUCCGAGUGUAGAGGUGAAAUUCGUAGAUAUUCGGAGGAACACCAGUGGCGAAGGCGGCUCACUGGCUCGAUACUGACGCUGAGGUGCGAAAGCGUGGGGAGCAAACAGGAUUAGAUACCCCCGUAGUCC